GGGAGUGUACGGCUCAGGGGUAGAGCGCGUGCUUAACAUGCACAAAGUCCUGGGUUCAAUCCCCAGCGCCUCCU
rnacentral:tRNA from 1 species